rnacentral:rRNA from 1 species
GUGACGAAGCGACGCCGCGUGCGGGAGGAAGGCCUUCGGGUUGUAAACCGCUGUCGGGAGUUAAGAAAUGCAAGGAUGUUAAUAGCGUUCUUGCUUGACUAAGGCUCCGGAGGAAGCCACGGCUAACUCUGUGCCAGCAGCCGCGGUAAUACAGAGGCGGCAAGCGUUGUUCGGAAUUAUUGGGCGUAAAGAGCACGUAGGCGGCCUUGCAAGUCAGUUGUGAAAGCCUUCCGCUUAACGGAAGAACGGCAUCUGAUACUACAGGACUUGAGUACGGGAGGGGAGAGUGGAACUUCUGGUGGAGCGGUGAAAUGCGUAGAUAUCAGAAGGAACGCCGGCGGCGAAAGCGACUCUCUGGUCCGAAACUGACGCUGAGUGUGCGAAAGCUAGGGGAGCAAACGGGAUUAGAUACCCCGGUAGUCCUAGCCGUAAACGAU